rnacentral:rRNA from 1 species
GACGAACGCUGGCGGCGGGCUUAACACAUGCAAGUCGAACGGAAAGGCCCUGCUUUUGUGGGGUGCUCGAGUGGCGAACGGGUGAGUAACACGUGAGUAACCUGCCCUUGACUUUGGGAUAACUUCAGGAAACUGGGGCUAAUACCGGAUAGGAGCUCCUGCUGCAUGGUGGGGGUUGGAAAGUUUCGGCGGUUGGGGAUGGACUCGCGGCUUAUCAGCUUGUUGGUGGGGUAGUGGCUUACCAAGGCUUUGACGGGUAGCCGGCCUGGGAGGGUGACCGGACACAUUGGGACUGAGAUAAGGCACAGACUCCUACGGGACGCAGCGGUGGGGAAGAUUGUAUAAUGGGCGGAAGCAUGAUGCAGCAACGCCGCGUGCGGGAUGACGGCCUUCGGGUUGUAAACCGCAUUCGCCUGUGACGAAGCGUGAGUGACGGUAAUGGGUAAAGAAGCACCGGCUAACUACGUG